AGUGAACGCUGGCGGUAGGCCUAACACAUGCAAGUCGAACGGCAGCACAGUAAGAGCUUGCUCUUACGGGUGGCGAGUGGCGGACGGGUGAGGAAUACAUCGGAAUCUACUUUUUCGUGGGGGAUAACGUAGGGAAACUUACGCUAAUACCGCAUACGACCUACGGGUGAAAGCAGGGGAUCUUCGGACCUUGCGCGAUUGAAUGAGCCGAUGUCGGAUUAGCUAGUUGGCGGGGUAAAGGCCCACCAAGUCGACGAUCCGUAGCUGGUCUGAGAGGAUGAUCAGCCACACUGGAACUGAGACACGGUCCAGACUCCUACGGGAGGCAGCAGUGGGGAAUAUUGGACAAUGGGCGCAAGCAUGACCCAGCCAUACCGCGUGGGUGAAGAAGGCCUUCGGGUUGUAAAGCCCUUUUGUUGGGAAAGAAAAGCAGCAGGUUAAUACCCAGCUGUUCUGACGGUAACCAAAGAAUAAGCACCGGCUAACUUCGUG
rnacentral:rRNA from 1 species